ACUUGGUUCGGCAAUACAUACACUAAAAUUGGAACGAUACAGAGAAGAUUAGCAUGUCCCCUGGACAAGGAUGACACGCAAAUUCAUGAAGCAUUCCAUACUUCU